rnacentral:rRNA from 1 species
UACAGAGGUCUCAAGCGUUGUUCGGAUUCAUUGGGCGUAAAGGGUGCGUAGGUGGCGCGCUAAGUCAGGUGUGAAAUUUCGGAGCUUAACUCCGAAACUGCAUUUGAUACUGGCGUGCUUGAGGACUGGAGAGGAGACUGGAAUUUACGGUGUAGCAGUGAAAUUCGUAGAUAUUCGCAAGAACACCAGUGGCGAAGGCGGCUCACUGGCCCGAUACUGACGCUGAGGCACGGAAGCGUGGGGAGCAAACAGG